rnacentral:rRNA from 1 species
CAGCAGCCGCGGGAAUACAGAGGGUGCGAGCGUUAAUCGGAUUUACUGGGCGUAAAGCGUGCGUAGGCGGCUUCUUAAGUCGGAUGUGAAAUCCCUGAGCUUAACUUAGGAAUUGCAUUCGAUACUGGGAAGCUAGAGUAUGGGAGAGGAUGGUAGAAUUCCAGGUGUAGCGGUGAAAUGCGUAGAGAUCUGGAGGAAUACCGAUGGCGAAGGCAGCCAUCUGACCUAAUACUGACGCUGAGGUACGAAAGCAUGGGGAGCAAACAGGAUUAGAUACCCCCGUAGUCCCUGUCUCUUAUAC